ensembl:lncRNA
ACGAAUGUAGAAAUGCUACAUAGAAGUACCAUUUAGGACAAACUGAAAAACUAAAACACUCUACAUAUGAGAGAGAAGACCUUUAGGACAAACCAAUUCAAUAAAAUGAAUCUAUCAUUCCAGUAUGAGAGCGAGAGAGACAAAAGUGUGUUUGAUUACCUCAGCUUGCUCAUAAUGUGACAUUACAUAAAGGCUAAUCAAAUGCUGGAAAAGCUAUAGUGAGCGCAGUCACGCUGCUAAACAAUUUAGUUAGGUUAGUUAUUCCCCAACAAGGUUUGUGUGUGCAUAUCGGUGCAUAAUAAGACUCAGUCGCGGGGUGGAAGGGUCAUUGAAGCUGCUGCGAUACACAUCAACUAAUUUUCCCUUGAAACGCAGCACAAAUAUCACAAUAACACACAUUUUAUGUGUACAGCCUCCCAAGAGAUGGUGCUGAGUUUCAUCCUAUUUGCACCCAGAGUGUGAACGUAGCACCCAGGCUGACAGUUCCAUUUCUCCAUCUCCCUGUGGUCAGACUCAUGGAGCAGCAGGUCACGGAGGCUUCAGAGGUGGGUGCAAGCCUCCAGAUCGCCUGGAGUAAGUGUUUUGUUCCACAUCACGGCCAGCUGCUUGUAAAGUCAGCUAUGGCCAGGAGCGCAGAGCGGUGGAUCGAGAGGGGGGACCUAACCACAUCUCUGGGGGCCGAAACGGGAGGUAGGGACAUGGUGACACGUACUACAGACCAUGUCCACCCCAGGCUAAGGCCGUAAAGGCCACUCGCUUUCUCUCCUCCUCCUUCUCAAGAUAUGUUUAAAGAGACAGUUCACCAAAGAAUUUAAAUUCUGUCAUCAUUUACUAACCCUCAUGUCAUUCAAAUGAUUUUGUUACUUCGGAAUCAGAGUAUCAUAUUAUAAGCACUGUGAAUCAUUUCACCAAAAUUAAUGAUAAAAAUGUUCAUUAACACGGGUUUUGAUGAUUUUAUCAACAAUAGGACUAUGGUAAGCAUGAGACGAAGACUGUUGAAAUGAUCUUCGACCCUAGAUCUGUAGGGGAUCACAGUCCUGUAACGAAACAUGGGAAAUUAAUUGAACAGGUUUCAUCUCAUAAAUACAGGGUUCCCACGGGUCCUUGAAAUCCUUGAAAGUUUGUGAAUCUGAAAAAAAAUUUCAAGGCCCUGGAAAGUUUUUGAAAAUAAACAUACAUAGAUACAGGUCCUUGAAAGUACUUGAAUUUAUUUAUUUCUGGAAAAAAAUCCAUAUUAUUCCCUCUGAUCCGCUAAUGUGUUAUUUCGCCAACACUUUGUGGCCUAUGUAUACUAGCUUGCUUGAUUUACGUUAGUUACGUGCAUUUUCCCGUUGCAUUAAGUGUUUCCCCGUAAGGUACGUUGCCGUGACGUUCACACGUGCACAAACUACUACUAUGGUAAAGUUUCAUAGACACACCGUGAAAUUAAUGUUGAAUUUCUUUGCUUGUUAAGAUCAUGUAAACCCAUGAGGCAAGAAAAGCUUAAAAGCAUAUUCAAAUAUCUUAAAACUUAUGGUUACAUGAGCCUAAGCUCUUUUCAAUAAAAUCCAUGCAAAAUAGGGUUGCCAACCAUUCCGUAUAGCCUAAUACGGAAUUGUCCCGUAUAUAAGGCAUCAGAGAAGUGUUCUGUAUGAAAGCUAUACGGAAUGCAGUUUGUCCUGUAUUCGCAGGCAUACGCCGUAUGGCCAUAUAGACCAUACAAAUGACAAAUUAAUCAUUCUUUUUGCACAAAUAAUUGUUUGAAUUGCAAAUGUAGCCACUCAAGGAAAGCUUUAAGACCUUGUAGAAUCCUCUGCCGUCUGGUUGCUCCCACUUCACAGUGAGUGGGGCUCACGCUAACGGCAGUUCCCUUCAGCAUCCAUAUUUUGAUUUUGCAAAAUCAGUUUGGGUGAAUGCAAAGAACGUGAUUAUUGAUCAUAAGCACAACAUCCAGCUAGGCAAGAAAACAUGCAAUCUACCUGAGGUAAGACGUCUUUCAGUAUGGUAAGUUAAUGUUGUUAAAUACAGAAACAAAAUUACACAUUUUUAAAAUUGUAACUUGCAUAUUCCUAAACCUGACCUCAUUCAUAUUGAAAAACAAAUUCAAGCCCAAAAGAAGCCCAAACACUCCUAGUUACCUUUAACUGAAAAUAAUAAUAAUAAUAAUAAUUUUCAUGAUUUCAUAGGCUAUAUUGUUGCAAUAACAUUUUAGUUCAAAAUUUUAAAUGUCAUUGUUUAAAA